rnacentral:tRNA from 1 species
UCCAGUGUGGAGUAGUGGUUUGAGUGCUGGAUCACAACUCUGGAGACCAGGGUUCGAUUCCUUGCUCAGCCA